GACGAACGCUGGCGGCGUGCUUAACACAUGCAAGUCGAACGGAAAGGCCCUGCUUUUGUGGGGUGCUCGAGUGGCGAACGGGUGAGUAACACGUGAGUAACCUGCCCUUGACUUUGGGAUAACUUCAGGAAACUGGGGCUAAUACCGGAUAGGAGCUCCUGCUGCAUGGUGGGGGUUGGAAAGUUUCGGCGGUUGGGGAUGGACUCGCGGCUUAUCAGCUUGUUGGUGGGGUAGUGGCUUACCAAGGCUUUGACGGGUAGCCGGCCUGAGAGGGUGACCGGCCACAUUGGGACUGAGAUACGGCCCAGACUCCUACGGGAGGCAGCAGUGGGAAAUAUUGCACAAUGGGCGGAAGCCUGAUGCACCAACGCCGCGUGCGGGAUGACGGCCUUCGGGUUGUAAACCGCUUUCGCCUGUGACGAAGCGUGAGUGACGGUAAUGGGUAAAGAAGCACCGGCUAACUACGUG
rnacentral:rRNA from 1 species